CGCAGAGCCACACCAGCCAGGGCAAAAUAUUUCUUUAAAGGGGAGAUCUGAGAUUUGAUAUCCAUUAGGAGCUCACCUGUAUAAAUGAGCCUUUACACAAUAGUUAAAAGACAGGAAACAGGCAGACAGGUGUGUUUUCACAAUGUCUGGUGUACCCUAGAGCUUGACUUGUAUAGAGAACAAUGGAAGAAGGCUUGACUUGUUCCUAAAUAGUGCUUAUAUUUCCCACUUUGGUUGAAUCACCUCACUUGGGCUCACUAUAGUGUACCUCACCAGGGAUAUAAGUGCAAAAUAUUUUUAACACAAGAUCUAUGGCAAAUGGAAAUUAAUGGUAUAGUUUCAUAAGCAAAACUAACACAUGGAACAUUUAAAUACUAAGCUCUGGAGUACUGUUAAUUUCAUAUGGUAUUGAAAAUGGGAGAGGGCUAGAGCAGUUAGGGGAGAUUUAAAGGAAAUGGGACUUGAAUGGUACAUAGAUAAGGGAGAUGAAGGGAGGAAGCAUGAUUGGAGUAAAAAGGAGGUUAUGGUGUACUAAGCUAGUAGACAAAAGCCUGAAAUUGAAGAAGGGGAUGAGCAGAUCAAAAAUUCAAGGCAGCUCAAAGCACUAGAGAGAGGCAGCAUUUUAAAUGAAGGAUGUGCAAGAAAAUUUACCACCAGUCUGUGGAGGCAGUGUAAGCUGGGGAGGGAGGUACAGAGUGCAGUGACCUGAGUGAGGUUAUCCAUAAAUUUGUAUGGCAGCUAGGAACCAGACGUCAAAAAGAUGGAUAUUCCUUUCGACAACUGGCUUCUGACUCCCAGGCAGUAAUAGUUGCUUGAUCUGUAGGAUACUCUGGUGAAAGUGAAGGAAGGUACUGACACAAUUCUUUAGAAAGGUUUUCUCUGGCUUUAUGCACCAGCCACAAAGCCUUGACUAGCGGUGCAGGUGUCAAUCAACUUGGAACAUUCCAUGAAUGAUAGAAGUGUUUGUAGAGAAUGACAAAACUCACCCACUUAAUGAGAACCAGGUAGAAUUCCUUUAUAUACACACGAUCUAUACCAAGGACACAGGUUCAGCUAUCAUUCUUAAGUUCCUUUUAACUAAGCCAAUCAGUGAGGCUU